rnacentral:rRNA from 1 species
UGCCGGCGACCGGCGCACGGUGAGUAACACGUAUGCAACCUGCCCUCCGCAGGGGGAUAACCCGGAGAAAUCCGGACUAAUACCGCGUGGUACACCAGUGGGGCAUCCCACGGGUGUUAAAAGGAAGUGAUUCCGGCGGAGGAUGGGCAUGCGGCGCAUUAGCUUGUUGCGGGGUAACGGCCCACCAAGGCGACGAUGCGUAGGGGUUCUGAGAGGAAGGUCCCCCANACUGGUACUGAGACACGGACCAGACUCCUACGGAAGGCAGCAG